GACGAACGCUGGCGGCGUGCCUAAUACAUGCAAGUAGAACGCACAGUUUAUACCGUAGCUUGCUACACCAUAGACUGUGAGUUGCGAACGGGUGAGUAACGCGUAGGUAACCUGCCUGGUAGCGGGGGAUAACUAUUGGAAACGAUAGCUAAUACCGCAUAAUAUUAAUUAUUGCAUGAUAAUUAAUUGAAAGGUGCAAUUGCACCACUACCAGAUGGACCUGCGUUGUAUUAGCUAGUAGGUGAGGUAACGGCUCACCUAGGCGACGAUACAUAGCCGACCUGAGAGGGUGAUCGGCCACACUGGGACUGAGACACGGCCCAGACUCCUACGGGAGGCAGCAGUAGGGAAUCUUCGGCAAUGGACGAAAGUCUGACCGAGCAACGCCGCGUGAGUGAAGAAGGUUUUCGGAUCGUAAAGCUCUGUUGUAAGAGAAGAACGGGUGUGAGAGUGGAAAGUUCACACUGUGACGGUAUCUUACCAGAAAGGGACGGCUAACUACGUG
rnacentral:rRNA from 1 species